GAUCCUGGCUCAGAGUGAACGCUGGCGGCAGGCCUAACACAUGCAAGUCGAACGGCAGCACAGUAAGAGCUUGCUCUUAUGGGUGGCGAGUGGCGGACGGGUGAGGAAUACAUCGGAAUCUACUCUUUCGUGGGGGAUAACGUAGGGAAACUUACGCUAAUACCGCAUACGACCUACGGGUGAAAGCGGAGGACCUUCGGGCUUCGCGCGAUUGAAUGAGCCGAUGUCGGAUUAGCUAGUUGG
rnacentral:rRNA from 1 species